UACAGGGGGGCAAGCGUUGUUCGGAAUUACUGGGCGUAAAGGGCUCGUAGGUGGCCAACUAAGUCAGACGUGAAAUCCCUCAGCUUAACUGGGGAACUGCGUCUGAUACUGGAUGGCUUGAGUUUGGGAGAGGGAUGCGGAAUUCCAGGUGUAGCGGUGAAAUGCGUAGAUAUCUGGAGGAACACCGGUGGCGAAGGCGGCAUCCUGGACCAAUUCUGACGCUGAGGAGCGAAAGCCAGGGGAGCAAAGCGGG
rnacentral:rRNA from 1 species